AGCUCCAAUAGCGUAUAUUAAAGUUGUUGCAGUUAAAAAGCUCGUAGUUGAAGUUCUGGCUGCUCGACCCUCGAGCUCUGUAGCCGGGGGCUCGGCAGUCAUCCGCUUGCAAACAUAUGUUCGCCCUUAACCAGGCGGCUAUGUGAGCAAGCAUUUUACCUUGAGAAAAACAGAGUGUUCCAGGCAGGUUUGUCCGGAAUGCAUUAGCAUGGAAUAAUAGAAUAUGACUGAAGUCGAUUUAUUGGUUUGAGGCUUUAGUAAUGAUUAAUAGGAACAGUCGGGGGCAUUGGUACUUGUCAGUCAGAGGUGAAAUUCUAGGAUUUGACAAAGACUAACAAAUGCGAAAGCAUUUGCCAAGGAUGUUUUCA
rnacentral:rRNA from 1 species